CUGAGAAUUACUAAGUUAAAUAAAAGUGCCAUAUCCAUAUCAGUGUAAUAGAUUUGCGUCGAACUCCAGUUAGCUCCAUAGCUAGGAAUGAAAUCUGAGAUAAUCUAAGAGUACAAGUAGCCUGGAAAAUUUCGUAUUUUUUUCCUAUUGAACUCCGAUUUAAUCACUUAUGAAGGAUGUCUUUAAAAUUUUGGCUUUGUGUAACAGUCUUAUCUUUGGUCGUAGUGCAUACAUACGUUUACACGGAUCUCUUAAGACAGACGAAUAAGUCGGGCAUGGCCAGGUAUAUGACAGACACGUGGUAUAGCAUGACUAAUGCCUGGGAACAGUUCAAGCUUGAGCUGAAAUGGAACCUGGAAACGGGCCAAAAGUUAGCAAUACAUGCCCGGAAGACCCUAGCCGAAAUACGCGAGAAGCGCGAAAAGUUGAGGGUGAAAAAAAGUUUCAAAUCUGGUUAAAGAGGAUCAACAUGCGUGUAAACUGUUUGCUGUACCAAAAUUUCCCUCGUAUUUAACUUGUUUUUCGUUUGUCCAAAGCUAAAUAUCAUAUAGGUAGUAAAAAGUAAAGAAAGAGAUUUUCAUUUA